rnacentral:rRNA from 1 species
ACUCAAAUGAAUUGACGGGGGCUCACACAAGCGGUGGAGCAUGUGGCUCAAUUCGAAGCAACGCGCAGAACCUUACCUGGGUUUGACAUGCAUGGAUUAACUCCUGGAAACAGGAGCCACACUCGCAAGAGUGGAACAUGCACAGGUGCUGCAUGGCUGUCGUCAGCUCGUGCUGUGAAGCGUCGGGUUAAGUCCUCUAACGAGCGCAACCCCUGUCGCUAGUUACCAUCAGGUAAUGCUGGGGACUCUAGCGAGACUGCCGGUGUCAAACCGGAGGAAGGCGGGGAUGACGUCAAGUCCUCAUGGCCCUUACACCCAGGGUUGCACACGUGCUACAAUGGUGCAUACAGAGCGAAGCAAGACCGCGAGGUGGAGCAAAUCGCAAAAAAUGCACCCCAGUUCGGAUUGCAGGCUGCAACCCGCCUGCAUGAAGCCGGAAUCGCUAGUAAUCGGGGAUCAGCUACGCCCCGGUGAAUGUGUUCCUGAGCCUUGUACACACCGCCCGU